AACAGGAUUAGAUACCCUGGUAGUCCACGCCCUAAACGAUGUCGACUAGGUGUUCGGUGAGGAGACUCAUUGAGUACCGCAGCUAACGCGUGAAGUCGACCGCCUGGGGAGUACGGUCGCAAGAUUAAAACUCAAAGGAAUUGACGGGGACCCGCACAAGCGGUGGAUGAUGUGGAUUAAUUCGAUGCAACGCGAAAAACCUUACCUACCCUUGACAUGUACGGAACCCUGCUGAGAGGUGGGGGUGCUCGAAAGAGAGCCGUAACACAGGUGCUGCAUGGCUGUCGUCAGCUCGUGUCGUGAGAUGCUGGGUUAAGUCCCGCAACGAGCGCAACCCUUGUCAUUAGUUGCUACGCAAGAGCACUCUAAUGAGACUGCCGGUGACAAACCGGAGGAAGGUGGGGAUGACGUCAAGUCCUCAUGGCCCUUAUGGGUAGGGCUUCACACGUCAUACAAUGGUCGGUACAGAGGGUUGCCAAGCCGCGAGGUGGAGCUAAUCCCAGAAAGCCGAUCGUAGUCCGGAUCGCAGUCUGCAACUCGACUGCGUGAAGUCGGAAUCGCUAGUAAUCGCGGAUCAGCAUGCCGCGGUGAAUACGUUCCCGGGUCUUGUACACACCGCCCGUCACACCAUGGGAGUGGGUUUCACCAGAAGAGGCUAGCCUAACCGCAAGGGGGGCGGUCGCCACGGUGAGAUUCAUGACUGGGGUGAAGUCGUAACAAGGUAACC
rnacentral:rRNA from 1 species